GUAGCGUUAAUUAUUUCUUAGUGAAUUAUAAGAAUUAAAAUAAAUAUAUUCUCAUAUAUUUACAACAUUUAAUCUUGUCGUUAUGACAAAUAAAUAGGAAAUGAUAAGUAUCGACGUCGAUACUGUCGAUACUAUCGACUUUCCCAAUCCCGCGGACUUGUUUACGCGAUAUCGCCGGCGCCAUGUUAUAACGGUGCCUCGGCCCGGACAAGAGAUCAAACUGCAGCGCGGUGCGCACGUCGCUCGUGCACAGAUAUGGGCCGCGCCCUUGAAUCGUCAUGUGUGAAUUUUUAAUAGUUAUAUGAAACCUAAAAUACAUAGUUAAUUUAUAAAAGGUGCAUCUCGUUUGUUACGACACUUCAUUACAAAUCAAGUGCAUAUAUUCCCCCACUUUGGGGACUACUCGACGGGCUCACUACUAUCACGCCCGCAAACCUUCACCCUGCCUGGACGCCUCUGCCCGCUCGCGUCGAACGCCGCGUCACACGCCACUACCGACGCCAGGACGCCAGGACAGUAACGCUCAGCUACGCUGCGAUCCAUUUGCCAUCACCACCGUAGGCCUACGACCCACGUCCCUAAAUAGACCUAAUAAAUAGAUUUAACACUUUGUA